CUACGGGCGGAGCAGUGGGGAAUAUUGGACAAUGGGGGAAAACCGGAGCAAGAAAUGCCGCGUGUGUGACGAAGCCCUUCUUUUUUUCCAGCACUUUCGGUUGGGAGGAGGGCGGGGAGAAGAAAGAUUGUUGGAAGUUGACGUUAUCUUCAGAAGAAGCACCGGCUAACUCCGUGCCAGCAGCCGCGGUAAUACGGAGGGUGCAAGCGUUAAUCGGAAUUACUGGGCGUAAAGCGCGCGUAGGCGGCUAGAUCAGUCGGGUGUGAAAGCCCCGGGCUUAACCUGGGAACUGCAUCCGAUACUGUCUAGCUAGAGAACAGGAGAGGAGAGUGGAAUUCCACAUGUAGCGGUGAAAUGCGUAGAUAUGUGGAGGAACACCAAUGGCGAAGGCAGCUCUCUGGCCUGAUACUGACGCUCAGGUGCGAAAGCGUGGGGAGCAAACAGGAUUAGAUACCCGUGUAGUC
rnacentral:rRNA from 1 species